rnacentral:rRNA from 1 species
UAGCGGCGGACGGGUGAGUAACACGUGGGCAACCUGCCUAUAAGACUGGGAUAACUUCGGGAAACCGGAGCUAAUACCGGAUACGUUCUUUUCUCGCAUGAGAGAAGAUGGAAAGACGGUUUACGCUGUCACUUAUAGAUGGGCCCGCGGCGCAUUAGCUAGUUGGUGAGGUAAUGGCUCACCAAGGCGACGAUGCGUAGCCGACCUGAGAGGGUGAUCGGCCACACUGGGACUGAGACACGGCCCAGACUCCUACGGGAGGCAGCAGUAGGGAAUCUUCCGCAAUGGACGAAAGUCUGACGGAGCAACGCCGCGUGAACGAAGAAGGCCUUCGGGUCGUAAAGUUCUGUUGUUAGGGAAGAACAAGUACCAGAGUAACUGCUGGUACCUUGACGGUACCUAACCAGAAAGCCACGGCUAACUACGUGCCAGCAGCCGCGGUAAUACGUAGGUGGCAAGCGUUGUCCGGAAUUAUUGGGCGUAAAGCGCGCGCAGGUGGUUCCUUAAGUCUGAUGUGAAAGCCCACGGCUCAACCGUGGAGGGUCAUUGGAAACUGGGGAACUUGAGUGCAGAAGAGGAAAGUGGAAUUCCAAGUGUAGCGGUGAAAUGCGUAGAGAUU